GAUGAACGCUGGCGGCGUGCUUAACACAUGCAAGUCGAACGAGAAGUGGAGACGGAAACCUUCGGGCGGAAGACUUUACUUCGAGUGGCGGACGGGUGAGUAACGCGUGGGUAACCUGCCUCAUACAGGGGGAUAACAGUUGGAAACGACUGUUAAUACCGCAUAAGACCACAGCACCGCAUGGUGCGGGGGUAAAAACUCCGGUGGUAUGAGAUGGACCCGCGUUCGAUUAGCCAGUUGGCGGGGUAACGGCCCACCAAAGCGACGAUCGAUAGCCGAUCUGAGAGGAUGACCGGCCACAUUGGGACUGAGACACGGCCCAAACUCCUACGGGAGGCAGCAGUGGGGAAUAUUGCACAAUGGGGGAAACCCUGAUGCAGCGACGCCGCGUGAGUGAAGAAGUAUUUCGGUAUGUAAAGCUCUAUCAGCAGGGAAGAAAAUGACAGUACCUGAGUAAGAGGCCCCGGCUAACUACGUG
rnacentral:rRNA from 1 species